rnacentral:lncRNA from 1 species
UGAAAUCAGCCACCUGUCAAUCUGGAAAGCGUUUUCAUUGGUACAGAAGCUCUUAAUGAGAUAUGGCCUAAUAAUCAGUGGCUAUUAAUUACAAAGGUUACAGAGGACCUCCCAGGAUCAGAAUGCCAGCAUGUCUGAGCUACCUCUGAACUUCUCUAUUUUAUGCUUCUUGAAUUAUAUUGC